AUUUGUUCCAGAUGGAUUUAGUCAUAGAAUGAUUGAUUAUCCACUCAGUUGCGAGCUAUGUGGUUAAGCUCAGAAAUCUACAACAAACUGAUCUGGAGCUGUGUUUCACGGUCUGGACAUUCAUGGAUGGAAUUUACCUAAGGUGAGGCUCACCUGUGGAAGUGACAGUGGCAGGCCCCAGCGAAUGGGAAUCCCAGGCAGAAUUCAAACACUGCCUCUGAGCAACAGUGACUCUCCAUGGCAAGUGGCAGGUGCAUUAGGUCAGGAAGCUGGCUUGUCCUGUGGUCGUCAAGUAUCAGGAAGAACUCAGUACACCUUUGUUGGCUGGUUGAUUUUGCAAGUCCUUGGAUAUUCCUUUUUUUAGCUUUAAGUGAUAUAUAGAAAAGUAUACUCUUCCACUUAGAGUUA